rnacentral:rRNA from 2 species
UAGGGAAUCUUCCACAAUGGACGCAAGUCUGAUGGAGCAACGCCGCGUGAGUGAAGAAGGUUUUCGGAUCGUAAAGCUCUGUUGUUGGUGAAGAAGGAUAGAGGCAGUAACUGGUCUUUAUUUGACGGUAAUCAACCAGAAAGUCACGGCUAACUACGUGCCAGCAGCCGCGGUAAUACGUAGGUGGCAAGCGUUGUCCGGAUUUAUUGGGCGUAAAGCGAGCGCAGGCGGAAUGAUAAGUCUGAUGUGAAAGCCCACGGCUCAACCGUGGAACUGCAUCGGAAACUGUCAUUCUUGAGUGCAGAAGAGGAGAGUGGAACUCCAUGUGUAGCGGUGGAAUGCGUAGAUAUAUGGAAGAACACCAGUGGCGAAGGCGGCUCUCUGGUCUGCAACUGACGCUGAGGCUCGAAAGCAUGGGUAGCGAACAGG